GGCACGUUGCCCUGACAACGGCUUUUUGCGCCAAACAGCGAGUCUGUCUGUUGUGUUUAUCGUAGUGAUUACAGUUUCGCAGUGUUUUCUUAAAAUAUUUUAGAGAAGGUGUAUUUGAAAGAGUUUUUAGUGGUCAAAAUUAUCCAGUUACAUAUUUUUAGGGUUCCGUACGUCAACCCUCUCAAGGUGCAUUCCCCGUCGGUGCUGCUACCAUCGGAGAAUAUCGGAAACAACUAGGUGAAGUUUCUACAAGAAAAAAUGAUUGGUGAAAACUUUUCUGGACUAAAUAGCUCUGCUUCUGGUAAAUGUGUGGAAUCAUCAUUUCCUAAGAGAUCAGAGACAUCACAGACUAUCAGAGACAACUUUGGUAGCAGGAUUUUGGCAAGCAUAGGAAUGGAUUAAUUGUAAGGUGAAGUUCGGACAAGAAAAAUAUUGGUGAAAAUGUGCCUGUGGAUUAAUUAGCUCUACUUCUGAUAUGUGUGUGGAUUUGUGGAUUUAUCAUUUUCUCUCAGGGACAUCACAGGCCAUCGGAGGAAUUAAUUAAUUUUAAGACAUGGAUGGGAAUCAUCUUCUUGCGGGGAGGAAGAAGAAAGCAUAGAGCAUCUGCUGUGCCACUGUCCGGGACUGGAAUACCGACGCUGUCAAACUUUCGGGCAAGGUUUUUUUGGGGGUAUCGCAAUAUAACAGGGG